GAAUAUUGCACAAUGGGGGAAACCCUGAUGCAGCGACGCCGCGUGAAGGAAGAAGGUCUUCGGAUCGUAAACUUCUAUCAGCAGGGAAGAAGGAAGUGACAGUACCUGAGUAAGAAGCCCCGGCUAACUACGUGCCAGCAGCCGCGGUAAUACGUAGGGGGCGAGCGUUAUCCGGAAUUACUGGGUGUAAAGGGUGCGUAGGCGGUAUGGCAAGUCAGUUGUGAAACCCCCUGGCUCAACCAGGGGCUUGCAAUUGAAACUGUCAUACUAGAGUGCAGGAGAGGAAAGCGGAAUUCCUAGUGUAGCGGUGAAAUGCGUAGAUAUUAGGAAGAACGCCAGUGGCGAAGGCGGCUUUCUGGACUGUAACAGACGCUGAGGCACGAAAGCGUGGGGAGCGAACA
rnacentral:rRNA from 1 species